GUGUGUGUGUGUGUGUGUGUGAGGCUAAUUUUCCAAUCUGUUUUAUCUUGUCUAAAUGGUUUUCAUAGUAUAUAUUGAAAAUAUUCAUCUUAAGUUUUGGAAGAUUUGUACAUAUGCUACUAAAGUAGAGACAUGGUGUACAUUCUGCUUUGAUGUUCACCACAUAAUUUGUUUUGCACUCUAAAGUAUCUCUUUUGUUCCGGUUGUUGAGGUUCAAUUUGUGCAAAUAACAUAUUCAGCAGUUAAACAGUGUUAUUUUUUCAUUCUGUAGUAUUACAUGCUGUCUUAGAAUUAUUGCAAGUGUGGUUAUAUGAGUUUGGUGCCUACUGGCAAGUAAUUCAACUGGGAUACUACCCUUGCUUUAUCCACCCUAAAACUGAAUCAAAUCCAAAACUGAAAGCGAAUAGGACUUUUUGACGCUUAUGCAUCAAUCUCCCUGGGUUAGAGAAAA
rnacentral:misc_RNA from 1 species